AAAAAAAAAAGAGAAAGAAAAAAAUAAAACCCUAGCCCUAAUUUAUACACAGAGAAUUACGAUACAAGAAGAAUAAGCUAAUCUACAUAAAGCGAUAGAUAAAUCAAAAUUGAAAACAGGGAACUGUGAAAAUCGAUACAUAAGAGAGAAAGGGGAGAAGGGAAGAGGCAGGGAAUAGAGAGUGAAGCUCGUUUUCAGACAACGAGCGCCGAUGAAUGGCAAGAGAGG
rnacentral:misc_RNA from 1 species